rnacentral:rRNA from 1 species
AACGAACGCUGGCGGCAGGCCUAACACAUGCAAGUCGAAGGAGAAGCUGGGCUUCGGCCCGGUGGAAACUGGCGCACGGGUGAGUAACGCGUGGGUAUCUACCUCGGGGUGGGGAAUAACCGCUGGAAACGGCGGCUAAUACCGCAUACGCCUUCAGAGGGAAAGCUCCGGCGCCCUGAGAGGAGCCCGCGUUGGAUUAGCUUGUUGGUGGGGUAAUGGCCUACCAAGGCUACGAUCUAUAGCUGGUCUGAGAGGAUGAUCAGCCACACUGGGACUGAGACACGGCCCAGACUCCUACGGGAGGCAGCAGUGGGGAAUAUUGGACAAUGGGCGCAAGCCUGAUCCAGCCAUGCCGCGUGAGUGAAGAAGGCCUUAGGGUUGUAAAGCUCUUUCACCUGCGAAGAUGAUGACGGUAGCAGGAGAAGAAGCCCCGGCUAACUCCGUG